rnacentral:rRNA from 1 species
UACCAACUCUUGACAUCCCAUUGACCGCUUGAGAGAUCAAGUUUUCCCUUCGGGGACAAUGGUGACAGGUGGUGCAUGGUUGUCGUCAGCUCGUGUCGUGAGAUGUUGGGUUAAGUCCCGCAACGAGCGCAACCCCUAUCCUUAGUUGCCAGCAUUGAGUUGGGCACUCUAGGGAGACUGCCGGUGACAAACCGGAGGAAGGUGGGGAUGACGUCAAAUCAUCAUGCCCCUUAUGAGUUGGGCUACACACGUGCUACAAUGGACGGUACAAAGGGCAGCGAGACCGCGAGGUGGAGCCAAUCCCAUAAAGCCGUUCCCAGUUCGGAUUGCAGGCUGCAACUCGCCUGCAUGAAGUCGGAAUCGCUAGUAAUCGCAGGUCAGCAUACUGCGGUGAAUACGUUCCCGGGUCUUGUACACACCGCCCGUCACACCACGAGAGUUUGCAACACCCGAAGCCGGUGAGUAACNAUAAGGAGC